rnacentral:rRNA from 1 species
UACGUAGGGUGCAAGCGUUGUCCGGAAUUAUUGGGCGUAAAGAGCUCGUAGGCGGUUUGUCGCGUCUGCUGUGAAAACUCAGGGCUUAACCCUGAGCCUGCAGUGGGUACGGGCAGACUAGAGUGUGGUAGGGGAGAUCGGAAUUCCUGGUGUAGCGGUGGAAUGCGCAGAUAUCAGGAGGAACACCGGUGGCGAAGGCGGAUCUCUGGGCCAUAACUGACGCUGAGACGCGAAAGCGUGGGGAGCAAACAGG